GAUCUGUGAUCCAGGACCUGUUAGUUUCUACUACUCUGAUCUCCAGCCCCGUUGCGCUCCUGGGUCCUCGUCUGUCUGUCCUGACAAUAUCCCCCUGAGCCCGACAGUACAUUGACCGAUGACUAUGUGUGCUGUGCUGCCCCCGUAUGAAGUCGAAGCCAAGAGAGUGCUGCAUGGAUUUUGUAGGGCAACCCUGAAGAUAGCAUUCGGAUGGAAACAUUUGAUUUAUUUUACUAUGAAUUACAGAUGCUGUGAUAUACUGGUAUUUACAAUAAUUGGGAUAUUUAGAAAAAAUGUUGACAUCAUGUUAAUAAUGCACAUAUGAUAAUACCGUGUAAAUAAUCCGGCGCCUCUUAAUUACGCCUGUUGUACAGUUAUGGUUACACACUCUCUUUCCAUCUCCCUAAACACGUAUUUUCAGUGUAAUUAAUUAACCAAAAAAGAGAUGAAAACGCAUAAUUAACUAAAUUGAAGAUGAAUAAAAAAGAACAAUUGUUCUAUAGAUAUUGCGUUAUUGUUGAUUAUUCACGUAUCAAAGUUUUGACUACAGCUGACAAAACAUGCUGAUUAUCAUUCAUCUUAACAUGACCUAUCUUUGUAACACGACUGAGAUAUAGAUUAUGAUGUUUAACUUUUACCUUCUGAAGCCUGCAGUACAUUCAUAUCUGUUCAUGCUCAUUUACAACAAAUCACACAGAUAUGAUAAACAAAUGUAAUGUGUUUUUGCUUUUUCACAGAAGAGCUCCCAAAGCCAAAGUGUUUGUAAAGUUGAAACUAUUGUUUGAGGACAACUGGAGGCAAAUGGCGUGAGAUGAUUAACGCUGCUCAUCUGAACUCAGCUACUCUUUCAGCACUCAGGAUGAAAAAUAUUCAAAUAAAAC